rnacentral:rRNA from 1 species
UACGUAGGGGGCUAGCGUUGUCCGGAUUUAUUGGGCGUAAAGAGCGUGUAGGCGGCCAUGUAGGUCCGGUGUGAAAACUCGAGGCUUAACCUCGAGAUGUCAUCGGAAACCAUUUGGCUAGAGUCCGGAAGAGGAGAGUGGAAUUCCUGGUGUAGCGGUGAAAUGCGCAGAUAUCAGGAGGAACACCGGUGGCGAAGGCGGUUCUCUGGGCCUGUACUGACGCUGAGGAACGAAAGCGUGGGGAGCGAACAGG